rnacentral:rRNA from 1 species
GACGAACGCUGGCGGCGUGCCUAAUACAUGCAAGUAGAACGCUGAAGAGAGGAGCUUGCUCUUCUUGGAUGAGUUGCGAACGGGUGAGUAACGCGUAGGUAACCUGCCUUGUAGCGGGGGAUAACUAUUGGAAACGAUAGCUAAUACCGCAUAACAAUGGAUGACACAUGUCAUUUAUUUGAAAGGGGCAAUUGCUCCACUACAAGAUGGACCUGCGUUGUAUUAGCUAGUAGGUGAGGUAAUGGCUCACCUAGGCGACGAUACAUAGCCGAGCUGAGAGGGUGAUCGGCCACACUGGGACUGAGGCACGGCCCAGACUCCUACGGGGGGCAGCAGUAGGGAAUUUUCGGCAAAGGGGGCAACGCUGAACGAGCAACGCCGGGGGAGGGAAGAAGGUUGUCGGAUCGGAAAGCUCGGUUGUAAGUCAAGAACGGGUGUGAGAGUGGAAAGUUCACACUGUGACGGUAGCUAAACAGAAAGCGACGGCUAACUACGUG